AUUGAACGCUGGCGGCAGGCCUAACACAUGCAAGUCGAACGAGUGGCGGACGGGUGAGUAACACGUGGGAACCUACCCAUCAGAGGGGGAUAACACUUGGAAACAGGUGCUAAUACCGCAUACUGAUGGAUGGACCCGCGGUGCAUUAGCUAGUUGGUGAGGUAACGGCUCACCAAGGCCACGAUGCAUAGCCGACCUGGGAGUGGAAUCGGCCACACGGGGACGGAGACACGGCCCAGACUCCUACGGGAGGCAGCAGGGGGGAAUAUUGCACAAUGGGCGCAAGCCUGAUGCAGCCAUGCCGCGUGUAUGAAGAAGGCCUUCGGGUUGUAAAGCACUUUAAGUUGGGAGGCGUUACCAACAGAAUAAGCACCGGCUAACUUCGUGCCAGCAGCCGCGGUAAUC
rnacentral:rRNA from 1 species